AACCAACUGAGCCAUCCAGGCGCCCCACAGAGGUCCCAAUUCUUAACAUUAGUGACUUAAGGCAUUGUUGCCCGUUUGCCCUUGUAGCUACUUUUAGUUCUGGAUUAGUUGGUUUGGAAUACAUCAGUGAUAGAAGAUUUCUAGGUGAAAUCUAGGAUUGAGGGCUCAAGACCGUUUCUGGGGAGCAGGUGCUCGAGAAAAUGAUUUAAGUAGUAGUUCUAAUGUCACAUCUUUUAGAAGUUCUCCGUGACCUCCCAAUUAAGUCAUGCCCCCUAUCACACACGGUCAUGGUGCCCUGUAGUUUUCCUUCAUAGUUUUCCUCAGAAUUUGGAUAUAUUUGUCGAUUUGUGCAGGUGUCUGGUUAAGGUCUGCUUUCUCAACUAUACUGUGAACUCUUCCAUGUCAGGGAUGAUUUUGCUUAGUAGUGUCUGGUAUGUAGUAGUUACUCACUAAAGUUUUGUUGAGUAGUAAAUUAGUGAAGAGAAAUACUCUUUGUUGGUGAAGAACUACAGAUGGAGCUGAUUCUCUUGAAACCAGGAAAGGUCUGGUGGUUUUACUCUAUGCUUCCUUGGAAGGACUGUCUUCUCAUUUAUAAUCAUGAAGACAGGCCAGCAGAUAACUACCCAGUGCAGCUGGUCGGAAACUUAGGGAAACAACGUCUUGCUGACACAAGUCUCUGAGCUCUUGGUAAUGCUGAAGUCCAUUAAACUUCAUAAAUAGUGUCUGAUGAGGAAAGUAGUGAUUUUGGAUCAAAACGGGAAAGGAGUCAGAGGUCAGUUUCCAGAACGUGAAGGAAAUCACGUAGCUCUUCCUUGAGGACUGCUAUGUCUAGACAGGCUACAAUGCACACUGUUAGCCCAUAGAACAAUUUCACUGUUGGGCAAAACCUGUGGUGUCCAGAGGAAGCACAACUCUUUUUGUCUCACUGAGUCCCCUUUAGUCCUAAUAGAUUAUACCUCAGAAGGGGGUCUGGUGGUCUCAUCUUUCUCAUGCCCCCUUCCUCUUCUUACAUACACUUUCUAUCCCUCAGCUGCCCCAAGGGAUCCAGCUUUCUCCUGGAUAGUUCCAAACCCCUUGAAAUUCUCUGAAUGAUUCCUAUAGGUCUCUAAUGAGUUUGGCUGUAGUUCCUUCAGAUUCUCCAGGGCGGAGCAACCUCAAGACAAAAAAGCCUUUCUUUUGCUAAUUUUAGCCCCUCCAUAAUAUCAGUUUGCAGAAAUAUUCUGUGAGCAGAGUCUGUUUCUUUACUCUGCCUCUUAGUUGGAGGAUAUGUACAUAGAGUAGCAUUUCCCAAGUUGAGCUUUGUGGAAUAUCACUUUCGGGAGUUAUUGACUUAUUCAUGCAUUAACACAUAGGUAGUUAGCAUCUACUACUGUGUGUCAGAUUCUGAGCUAAAUGGUGAGAAAAGAGAGCCAUAGGCCUUCCUUUCAGGGAGCUCACCAUCUAGUGAAGAGACAGCUAUUAAGGAAGUGAUCAAUGACGUGUGAAAUUUUCAUAUGAGCCGCCUGUUGGGAUGCAAGGCAUGUUGGUCUAACUCUUGGGAAAUGACUUGUCUGGGAGGCCAGCUGACACCAGCAAAUAUAAAGUUGAAGGGAAACAUCAACGGCUACCACCAACUCUGUCCAACUCAGUGGGAGCCAUGCUCCGAGGUUCAACUUUGCCCGCCCAAAUGAACUACUUUCUCCAUGGAAGAGUCCCGCAUGGAAUGGUAAAGGCAGGGACCCUGCUGGGAACCAGGAAUGUGAAGGGGUUCACACAUUGAACAAGUUGCAGCUCACAUUCUCCUCUGGAAGAGAUGUGCCUUUUCUUAAUAUUGGCGCUCACACUAAGGGAUAAACAUAGGACCCCCCAUGGUUGAGGAACGUCCCAAACUGAACUCCUGAGAGUCGGCAUCUGCACAUAAUUACUUAGGGCACAUAAUUCUUUUAUGGGUGCUCGCUUAGGAAAGCAUUUACAUUUACAUUCACAGCUCAUUAGGUUGCUUGUGAAUUUGAUUUGAACAUUUUAAGUGGGAUUGUUUUUAAUCUUUGGAGGCACUAUAAACUCACAGUCACGCUCAACUGCCACAGACUGUUGGAAGGCAAACCAUAUAGCUGGUUUGUUUUGCUUCCUAGGAGGAAGGUAAGGGCUGAACUGACCAUGGAUAUUCUAAGGGGACUUUUUUUUUUCUUUUUUUCUUUUUUCUGAGCCCAAGGCUUAUGGAACUAUUGUGAUCACAAGUGAAGUUGCUUGAAUCUCUGACGGAGAAAGAACGAAAUUAAACGUGACUUCUGAAUUGUUAUAAAAAAUCAUAAAAUAACAGAUCUUUCAACCAGAUGUUUAAUUUUAAAAUAGCAAACAUUGCAGACUUUCUGGAGUCUGUCAAUGGUUUGAAAAACCAAUUCAUUCACUUCCCUUGGGCUCUUGCAUUGCCUGGUAAUGAGCUCUGUUGGUCUUUAGCAAGGCAGUCGCUAUCAGCAGCACAUUUGGAAGUGCACUAUCUAAUGAAAAAAAUUUUUUUAAGGAAAACAGAUACAUUUUGCAAUUUAUUCAUGUUGCCAGGUGUUCCUUAGCUGUGCACUUAGGGGCCUGAGUUAAGUGCCUGCAGUUUUCUGUUUUUCAUGGGAAAACUAUAAAAUGAGAGAUUUGCUGUUGUGCAUUGCUUAAUGAAGACAGGUCCUCCUUGAGUGUCUGCAGGCAUGUUUGAUUUCAAAUUCAAGUGUAAUGUUAAAGGGACCCUUUCAUGCCUUGGUACUUUAGUGUGAUCCUGGUAGAACGGGUGGCACAUAUUGUAGUCUGAUUUUCAACAUGUAGUAGGAAAAAAACCCAGCUAAUCCCUUGUGACCUUGGAAAUGAUUUGUUAGACUUGAUUAGUGUCUGUUUGGAUUAUCACAGGGUGGGGGAAUUUCUGGGACAAAUGCUCUCUAGAGCUUCUUACCCACAGGCAGUGCUUUUUUGACAAUUUUCCCUAAGGUAACUUAUUGAGAUGAUGGUUAUUAAGACAAUGAGAAAAAGGCUUUGGAGAAAGAUGUGCCAACACAAGGAUCGUCUGCUUAUGUUAGACUGAAACAUCAGUGGUCAGACCACGAGUCACCAGGAGAAGAAGGAAAAGUUGAAGUGCCCUCGUCUGUUUCCUUUCCCUACCAGCCCAGAGUGCGGGCCCCACCUUUCAGCCCUGUGGAGCAUUUGUCUUUUGUGACUCUGUUCCCUCCCUCUGGCUCUGCCUCUACUUCCUUUAGUCCCUAGACCUGAAUGUAAUCCUCUGACAAUUCUUAUUUUUCACCCUUUUCACAACCCUAGAUGGUUGUCCCAAUCAACCCAGGCCUCCUCUGGAGAGAAACUUGUUCUGGAAAGAACAAGUGUGUUUAGCUGUGGCCAUUGGUGGACUUCAUACCAUUCACGGCACUACUCUAACGGGCGCCAUUCUCCAGACUCAAAUGUGAGUGGUGCCCACUGGAGUUGUGAUAUGUGGUAGCCCUAGUGCCUGGAGUCUUGGCAGAUAAGUUUGUUAAAUGUCUGAUGUGAUAGAUUCUAAGCAUCUUGAGGACAGGCCCCAUAUUCCCCAUAAGGCUUAGCAUAAUACCUUGCAUAGAGCAUGUAUGUAAUAAGAAUUGGUUGAAGGAAGGAACUGGGAUAUGCUCUGGGCAGGAAAAGUGCAAUAAACAAAA